GCAACUCGCCUACAUGAAGCUGGAAUUGCUAGUAAUCACAGGUCAGCAUACUGUGGUGAAUACGUUCCCGGGCCUUGUACACACCGCCCGUCACACCAUGAGAGUUGAGAAUACCCGAAGUCCAUGUCAAAGUGGCCGAAGGUAGGCUUGAUGAUUGGGGUGAAGUCGUAACAAGGUAAC
rnacentral:rRNA from 1 species